UGGGGAAUAUUGCACAAUGGGCGCAAGCCUGAUGCAGCCAUGCCGCGUGUAUGAAGAAGGCCUUCGGGUUGUAAAGUACUUUCAGCGGGGAGGAAGGGAGUAAAGUUAAUACCUUUGCUCAUUGACGUUACCCGCAGAAGAAGCACCGGCUAACUCCGUGCCAGCAGCCGCGGUAAUACGGAGGGUGCAAGCAUUAAUCGGAAUUACUGGGCGUAAAGCGCACGCAGGCGGUUUGUUAAGUCAGAUGUGAAAUCCCCGGGCUCAACCUGGGAACUGCAUCUGAUACUGGCAAGCUUGAGUCUCGUAGAGGGGGGUAGAAUUCCAGGUGUAGCGGUGAAAUGCGUAGAGAUCUGGAGGAAUACCGGUGGCGAAGGCGGCCCCCUGGACGAAGACUGACGCUCAGGUGCGAAAGCGUGGGGAGCAAACAGG
rnacentral:rRNA from 1 species